rnacentral:rRNA from 1 species
CUACGGGGGGCUGCAGUGAGGAAUUUUGCGCAAUGGGGGAAACCCUGACGCAGCAACGCCGCGUGAGUGAUGAAGGCUUUCGGGUCGUAAAGCUCUGUCAAGUGGGAAGAACCUGAUCCAUACUAAUAUCGUGGAUCACUGACGGUACCACUGAAGGAAGCACCGGCUAACUCCGUGCCAGCAGCCGCGGUAAUACGGAGGGUGCAAGCGUUAUUCGGAAUCACUGGGCGUAAAGGGCGCGCAGGCGGUUUGGUAAGUCAGAUGUGAAAGCCCGGGGCUCAACCCCGGAAGUGCAUUUGGUACUGCCUAACUUGAGUAUGGGAGAGGGAAGUGGAAUUCCUGGUGUAGAGGUGAAAUUCGUAGAUAUCAGGAGGAACACCGGUGGCGAGGGCGACUUCCUGGACCAAUACUGACGCUGAGGCGCGAAGGCGUGGGGAGCAAACAGGAUUAGAUACCCGCGUAGUC